AGUGGGUAGUCCGCACGAGCGCACCCUACUUUAUUGCCAUCGGGUCAUGCCGGGAACUCUAAAGGGACUGCCGGUGAUAAACCGGAGGAGGGUGGGGAUGACGUCAAGUCCUCAUGGCCUUUAUGCCCAGGGCUACACACGUGCUACAAUGGCCGGUACAAAGAGUCGCAAGACCGCGAGGUGGAGCCAAUCUCAUAAAACCGGUCUCAGUUCGGAUCGGAGUCUGCAACUCGACUCCAUGAAGUUGGAAUCGCUAGUAAUCGUGGAUCAGCAUGCCACGGUGAAUACGUUCCCGGGCCUUGUACACACCGCCCGUCACACCAAGAAAGCCGAUUGUACCAGAAGUCAUGAUGCCAACCUUCGGGAGGCUAGUGCCUAAGGUAUGGUUGGUGAUCGGGGUGAAGUCGUAACAAGGUAGCCGUAGGGGAACCUGCGGCUGGAUCACCUCCUUUCU
rnacentral:rRNA from 1 species